UACGGGGGGGGCGAGCGUUGUUCGGAAUUAUUGGGCGUAAAGGGAGCGUAGGCGGUGCGAUAAGUCGGGUGUGAAACCUCCAGGCUCAACUUGGAGCUAGCAUCUGAAACUGCCGCGCUAGAGUGUGGGAGGGGAGAGUGGAAUUCCCGGUGUAGCGGUGAAAUGCGUAGAUAUCGGGAGGAACAUCGGUGGCGAAGGCGGCUCUCUGGACCAUAACUGACGCUGAGGCUCGAAAGCUAGGGGAGCAAACAGG
rnacentral:rRNA from 1 species